rnacentral:misc_RNA from 1 species
CGUCGUUUAAACCAUGAGGCUUUGCCUUGCGAUGACAUUUGGGUUUCGGUCCAUGUGUCCAAACAUAUUGGCAUCUGCAGUUGGCCCAGCACAGCAAAAUGUGUUGACGGUCUUGCUGACGGAUUGCCGGUUAUUUGGAUGUUUCUUAGGAAACACGAUUGCUCGACCUCGGAUCAGGCAAGAUUACCCGCUGAACUUAA